GACGAACGCUGGCGGCGUGCUUAACACAUGCAAGUCGAACGAAGUGGCGAACGGGUGAGUAACGCGUAAUCAACCUGCCCUUCAGAGGGGGACAACAGUUGGAAACGACUGCUAAUACCGCAUACUGAAGGAGGGGAUUGCGUCUGAUUAGCUAGUUGGAGGGGUAACGGCGCACCAAGGCGAUGAUCAGUAGCCGGUCUGGGAGGAUGAACGGCCACAUUGGGACAUAGACACGGCCCUUACUCCUACGGGAGGCAGGAGUGGGGAAUAUUGGAAAAUGGACCAAAGUCUGAUCCAGCAAUUCGGUGUGCACGAUGAAGUUUUUCGGAAUGUAAAGUGCUUUCAGUUGGGAAGCGGUACCAACAGAAGAAGUGACGGCUAAAUACGUGCCAGCAGCCGCGGUAAGUC
rnacentral:rRNA from 1 species